CAUAGGUUAAUGAGGCGAACCGGGGGAACUGAAACAUCUAAGUACCCCGAGGAAAAGAAAUCAACCGAGAUUCCCCCAGUAGCGGCGAGCGAACGGGGAGGAGCCCAGAGCCUGAAUCAGUGUGUGUGUUAGUGGAAGCGUCUGGAAAGGCGCGCGAUACAGGGUGACAGCCCCGUACACAAAAAUGCACAUGCUGUGAGCUCGAUGAGUAGGGCGGGACACGUGGUAUCCUGUCUGAAUAUGGGGGGACCAUCCUCCAAGGCUAAAUACUCCUGACUGACCGAUAGUGAACCAGUACCGUGAGGGAAAGGCGAAAAGAACCCCGGCGAGGGGAGUGAAAAAGAACCUGAAACCGUGUACGUACAAGCAGUGGGAGCACAGAGCAAUCUGUGUGACUGCGUACCUUUUGUAUAAUGGGUCAGCGACUUAUAUUCUGUAGCAAGGUUAACCGAAUAGGGGAGCCGAAGGGAAACCGAGUCUUAACUGGGCGUUAAGUUGCAGGGUAUAGACCCGAAACCCGGUGAUCUAGCCAUGGGCAGGUUGAAGGUUGGGUAACACUAACUGGAGGACCGAACCGACUAAUGUUGAAAAAUUAGCGGAUGACUUGUGGCUGGGGGUGAAAGGCCAAUCAAACCGGGAGAUAGCUGGUUCUCCCCGAAAGCUAUUUAGGUAGCGCCUCGUGAAUUCAUCUCCGGGGGUAGAGCACUGUUUCGGCAAGGGGGUCAUCCCGACUUACCAACCCGAUGCAAACUGCGAAUACCGGAGAAUGUUAUCACGGGAGACACACGGCGGGUGCUAACGUCCGUCGUGAAGAGGGAAACAACCCAGACCGCCAGCUAAGGUCCCAAAGUCAUGGUUAAGUGGGAAACGAUGUGGGAAGGCCCAGACAGCCAGGAUGUUGGCUUAGAAGCAGCCAUCAUUUAAAGAAAGCGUAAUAGCUCACUGGUCGAGUCGGCCUGCGCGGAAGAUGUAACGGGGCUAAACCAUGCACCGAAGCUGCGGCAGCGACGCUGAUGCGUUGUUGGGUAGGGGAGCGUUCUGUAAGCCUGUGAAGGUGUGCUGUGAGGCAUGCUGGAGGUAUCAGAAGUGCGAAUGCUGACAUAAGUAACGAUAAAGCGGGUGAAAAGCCCGCUCGCCGGAAGACCAAGGGUUCCUGUCCAACGUUAAUCGGGGCAGGGUGAGUCGACCCCUAAGGCGAGGCCGAAAGGCGUAGUCGAUGGGAAACAGGUUAAUAUUCCUGUACUUGGUGUUACUGCGAAGGGGGGACGGAGAAGGCUAUGUUGGCCGGGCGACGGUUGUCCCGGUUUAAGCGUGUAGGCUGGUUUUCCAGGCAAAUCCGGAAAACUAAGGCUGAGGCGUGAUGACGAGGCACUACGGUGCUGAAGCAACAAAUGCCCUGCUUCCAGGAAAAGCCUCUAAGCAUCAGGUAACAUCAAAUCGUACCCCAAACCGACACAGGUGGUCAGGUAGAGAAUACCAAGGCGCUUGAGAGAACUCGGGUGAAGGAACUAGGCAAAAUGGUGCCGUAACUUCGGGAGAAGGCACGCUGAUAUGUAGGUGAAGUCCCUCGCGGAUGGAGCUGAAAUCAGUCGAAGAUACCAGCUGGCUGCAACUGUUUAUUAAAAACACAGCACUGUGCAAACACGAAAGUGGACGUAUACGGUGUGACGCCUGCCCGGUGCCGGAAGGUUAAUUGAUGGGGUCAGCGCAAGCGAAGCUCUUGAUCGAAGCCCCGGUAAACGGCGGCCGUAACUAUAACGGUCCUAAGGUAGCGAAAUUCCUUGUCGGGUAAGUUCCGACCUGCACGAAUGGCGUAAUGAUGGCCAGGCUGUCUCCACCCGAGACUCAGUGAAAUUGAACUCGCUGUGAAGAUGCAGUGUACCCGCGGCAAGACGGAAAGACCCCGUGAACCUUUACUAUAGCUUGACACUGAACAUUGAGCCUUGAUGUGUAGGAUAGGUGGGAGGCUUUGAAGUGUGGACGCCAGUCUGCAUGGAGCCGACCUUGAAAUACCACCCUUUAAUGUUUGAUGUUCUAACGUUGACCCGUAAUCCGGGUUGCGGACAGUGUCUGGUGGGUAGUUUGACUGGGGCGGUCUCCUCCUAAAGAGUAACGGAGGAGCACGAAGGUUGGCUAAUCCUGGUCGGACAUCAGGAGGUUAGUGCAAUGGCAUAAGCCAGCUUGACUGCGAGCGUGACGGCGCGAGCAGGUGCGAAAGCAGGUCAUAGUGAUCCGGUGGUUCUGAAUGGAAGGGCCAUCGCUCAACGGAUAAAAGGUACUCCGGGGAUAACAGGCUGAUACCGCCCAAGAGUUCAUAUCGACGGCGGUGUUUGGCACCUCGAUGUCGGCUCAUCACAUCCUGGGGCUGAAGUAGGUCCCAAGGGUAUGGCUGUUCGCCAUUUAAAGUGGUACGCGAGCUGGGUUUAGAACGUCGUGAGACAGUUCGGUCCCUAUCUGCCGUGGGCGCUGGAGAACUGAGGGGGGCUGCUCCUAGUACGAGAGGACCGGAGUGGACGCAUCACUGGUGUUCGGGUUGUCAUGCCAAUGGCACUGCCCGGUAGCUAAAUGCGGAAGAGAUAAGUGCUGAAAGCAUCUAAGCACGAAACUUGCCCCGAGAUGAGUUCUCCCUGACUCCUUGAGAGUCCUGAAGGAACGUUGAAG
rnacentral:rRNA from 1 species